GACCAUGUGACCCUCGUAUUAUUGUGUUUUGGGUUGAAACCGAGCUUAGCCUUGUUCAUUUUUUUACACAACACCUCCGUAAAAAAUAAAACACGGCGCACCGGAGAUAGCCCUUUACCCGGGAAAUAGCGGAUAAUGGAUUGCCCCGAUAUGCAGCAAAUCUGCCGUAGAUGUGCCAUU
rnacentral:snoRNA from 1 species